GACAGAGGGUGCAAACGUUGUUCGGAAUUACUGGGCGUAAAGCGCGUGUAGGCGGCUGCGCAAGUCGGAUGUGAAAUCCCAUGGCUCAACCAUGGAAGUGCACCCGAAACUGCGUAGCUUGAGUCUCGGAGAGGAAGGCGGAAUGCUUGGUGUAGAGGUGAAAUUCGUAGAUAUCAAGCGGAACACCGGUGGCGAAGGCGGCCUUCUGGGACGAUGACUGACGCUGAGACGCGAAAGCGUGGGGAGCGAACAGG
rnacentral:rRNA from 1 species